rnacentral:tRNA from 21 species
GUCCCCUUCGUCUAGAGGCCUAGGACACCACCCUUUCACGGUGACUACAGGGGUUCGAAUCCCCUAGGGGACGCCA